GGGGCCUUGGCGCGAUUGAUAGCGCACUGCCUUUGCCACGCAGGGAUCGCGGGUCCGAGCCCCGCAGGCUUCA
rnacentral:tRNA from 1 species